AGUGAACGCUGGCGGUAGGCCUAACACAUGCAAGUCGAACGGCAGCACAGUAAGAGCUUGCUCUUACGGGUGGCGAGUGGCGGACGGGUGAGGAAUACAUCGGAAUCUACUUUUUCGUGGGGGAUAACGUAGGGAAACUUACGCUAAUACCGCAUACGACCUACGGGUGAAAGCAGGGGAUCUUCGGACCUUGCGCGAUUGAAUGAGCCGACGUCGGAUUAGCUAGUUGGCGGGGUAAAGGCCCACCAAGGCGACGAUCCGUAGCUGGUCUGAGAGGAUGAUCGGCCACACUGGAACUGAGACACGGUCCAGGCGCCUGCGGGAGGCAGCAGUGGGGAAUGUUGGACAAUGGGCGCAAGCCUGAUCCAGCCAUACCGCGUGGGUGAAAAAGGCCUUCGGGUUGUAAAGCCCUUUUGUUGGGAAAGAAAAGCAGCAGGUUAAGACCCCGCUGUUCUGACGGUACCCAAAGAAGAAGCACCGGCUAACUUCGUG
rnacentral:rRNA from 1 species